rnacentral:lncRNA from 1 species
UCCGCUCAACACUAGAAGCAAGAGCAGAGCGAAUCCUCACGGUGUCUGGUAGUAGGCGCAGCGGCGGGCCUCCCGGCAACGGAGAGAACCCCGGUGAGAGCCCCCCUCUUUGCCGCGGUUCGGAGAUGUCUAUGCUUCGUUGAGGAUCCGCGCGAUAGCUGGGGCUGGGGGCGAAUCAAUUGUUGCAUCUGGUAAUUCGUUUUUCCUCGAUCCAUCCAUCGGGACAACGACUGAUGAGGAGUGAUUUGUGAAUUAGGCAGGAUUAUUUUAUUAUUAUUAUUAUUGUUGUUGUUAUUAGGUUUUGGUUUGUUUGCUUUUAAGGGGAUUCAGUUAGUUGAAAAUUUUCAAAUCUGGCCGAGAUUUCGGAUCUCCCUCCCCCCACGUCAUCUAACCGAGCGUGGCGACUAGGGGCUCCUCUCCUUCCUUACAGCGCCCCCCUUAACCCCAUCAACCCUUGUGGUGCCAGCGCUGAAUGCCCCAACUCCCCCCCCCCACGCCGCACCACACACGGCGAUCCGACUUGGGUGGAGGCAGCUGGCGGCGGUGCCCCUUAGCCGUUCAUGGAUCCAGUGACGGUGUGUCCUCUCGGGUACCGCAGUGUCGGGUGUUGAGGUGGCGGUGGCGCGGCUGCUUGGCCGCGGGGUGGCGCGGCGGCUGGCGGCGGCGGCGUCCCGGCCUAGAUCUAGGCCCUUUUGGGCCCCAUCUGGGGCUGAGAAGGCUAUUUGGGUUUGCCUGGAUCGUCUCCAGCAAAAGGAGGUGCGGAUCAUGCUGGUGGUGGUAGAGACACCGACACACUGACUACAACGGGGCAACGAGAGCUUAAUGAGCCCAUUUUGGGGACGGCCGGGCCUAGGUUGCCUGGUUUGCUUCUGAUGUUGCAUCUGUUUAGUUACCGCCGAGGUGGAGAUUGUCCCCUCCCACAUGGCUGCUGACUCUACCGCUCCUCAUUGAUCGAGUGCGAUGGAUCGUCCGGGGUCGUGGUUGGUUGGCAGUCGGGGGAAAUCCUUGUCGGCUUGACCGACACUGAUGCAGUGAUGCCCAUGGGCGCCAUCGUUCCUUCCUUAAGGGCGUUGGGUAUACCCCCUUCGCGUACCAGGGGAAACCCUGGGACAAGUCCGGGCAGUGUCGUCGUCGUCGUGUUCCUUCUUGAAGGUGCUGCUUGGUAUGCUGCGUUCCGGAGUGCUAGGAGCAUGGUGAGAAUUUUUCGGUUGUCGCAACGGUUGCGGUUCAUCAUCGUUUUCACUAAUCCGAUGUCAUUGGCAUUAUUUUCUCUUUUGUUUCGUUUGGGCGUGCUUGUGCUGAGACCCCAGCAAUUGUAUCGUGUGGUUGAUACAUUAAUAUAUAUAGCAGGGCGGAAGACUAUUUUGAGCAUUCGGUUAGUUCCAUGAGCUUGGAGCUUAGAUUACACAGUCCGAGUGAGUGAACAGAGAUUAGAUAUAUAUCCGUUGGGUUUCUAUUUGAUUUGAUUUCUCGUAUUUCUUCUUUGACUUGCUUGGAGCGUAGAUUAAUUACAUAGUCCAACUAUGAACGACUCUCAUCUUUGUCGAAAAGUAUGAACUAGUCUCAUCUCAUAUAGUUAAGACCGAUGAUACAUUCAUGCUGCCAACUGUUUGAUUGCUUGUCUCAGGUUUUCCUUAACGUUACCAUGCUCAAUUCUAUAACAUGUUGUCCAUUGCCAAUUACUGCUUGCUUGGUCUAUAUUUGGUUCGUAACCUAAUUAUAUAUACCUAAACUGAUCAAACAAUUUGCCCAACUUGAUGCAAUUGUGAUAAACUGAUAACUGAUCCUACUGUCCUGCAUCCAGGUCCAUGGGUGGUUGGGAGACUAUUGAGAAUAAGGAGAAAUUAGGGCAAACAUCUAGGAGGUGACAAUGGGCACCACGGACUUCAUCCUCGAAUGCUCCACCCAAUACAACAUGCCAAACUUGAAUGGCAAUGGAUCUUCACAUCCUUCAGGAAACAAUUCGACUCCUCAACUUGAAUGGCAAUGUUCAUCUUUGGGAACACGUAAGAAGUCAGUGUUUGCAUUUUGACGCGAUAUCUGCUCCUCAACUCCUUGUAGAUGUGAUACUUGAUUUCCAUCUUUCUUGGGAUGUAUCUAUCUGGAAAGAAAAACUUCACACUUGAAGUAUAGUUAUGAUUCAACAUGGAGAGGGACCGAUAUUUCA